CCGGACCUACGGGAGGCAGUAGUGGGGGAUAUUGCACAAUGGGGGAAACCCUGAUGCAGCGACGCCGCGUGGGUGAAGAAGCGCCUCGGCGCGUAAAGCCCUGUCAGCAGGGAAGAAAAUGACGGUACCUGAAGAAGAAGCCCCGGCUAACUACGUGCCAGCAGCCGCGGUAAUACGUAGGGGGCAAGCGUUAUCCGGAUUUACUGGGUGUAAAGGGGGCGCAGACGGCGAUGCAAGCCAGGAGUGAAAGCCCGGGGCCCAACCCCGGGGCUGCUCUUGGAAGUGCGUGGCUAGAG
rnacentral:rRNA from 1 species